GUUAAGUUAAUAAGGGCGCACGGUGGAUGCCUUGGCACUAGGAGCCGAAGAAGGACGGGACUAACGCCGAUAUGCUUUGGGGAGCUGUAAGUAAGCUGUGAUCCAGAGAUUUCCGAAUGGGGAAACCC
rnacentral:rRNA from 1 species